UACGGAGGGGGCUAGCGUUGUUCGGAAUUACUGGGCGUAAAGCGUACGUAGGCGGCUUUGUAAGUCAGAUGUGAAAGCCCCGGGCUCAACCUGGGAACUGCAUUUGAAACUGGCGGGCUUGAGUGUGGCAGAGGGGGGUGGAAUUCCGCGUGUAGCAGUGAAAUGCGUAGAGAUGCGGAGGAACACCGAUGGCGAAGGCAGCCCCCUGGGCCAACACUGACGCUCAGGCACGAAAGCGUGGGGAGCAAACAGG
rnacentral:rRNA from 1 species